GGAGUCGUCAAGACGAUCGCUGGCCCGUUCAGGCGGGCUGGAGGAAAGUCCGAACACCAGAGGACAGGGCGCUCCAUAACGUGGAGUCACGGUGACGUGAAGGCAAGUGCAACAGAAAGCAAACCGCCUGGCACGGUGCGGUUCGGUAUGUCCGGACCGUUUCUCUGUGUCCGGUAAGGGUGAAACGGUGAGGUAAGAGCUCACCAGUUCUCCGGGUGAUCGGAGAAGCUGGGUAAACCCCGCCCGGUGCAAGACCAAAUAGGGAAGAGCCUGAGGGUGGUCCGCCUGAUUCUUCCGGGUAGGUCGCACGAGAUGCCGGGUAACCGGUGUCCAUGAGAUGAAUGAUCGUCAACCCCAGUCUGGGGUUACAGAAUUCGGCUUAUUGACGACUCCGGCC
rnacentral:RNase_P_RNA from 1 species